rnacentral:rRNA from 1 species
AGAAAGUCAGUUUCGGCUGGCGAGUAAAGUGGCGAAUGGGUGAGUAACGCGUAGGUAACCUGCCUUCAGGAUUGGGAUAACUCUGCUAACGCGGGGCUAAUACCGAAUAAAGCAGCAUCACUACAUGGAGAUGUUGUUAAAGAGGGGGCUUCAAAUGAACCUUUCACCUGAAGAUGGGCCUGCGUUCCAUUAGUUAGUUGGUGAGGUAACAGCUCACCAAGACAGCGAUGGAUAGCCGACCUGAGAGGGUGAUCGGCCACACUGGGACUGAGAUACGGCCCAGACUCCUACGGGAGGCAGCAGUAGGGAAUAUUGCGCAAUGGCCUAACGGCUGACGCAGCAACGCCGUGUGACCGAUGAAGCUCCAAGGAGUGUAAAGGUCUGUUAGGAGGGAAGAAAAGUCCAGACGUUAAUAACUUCUGAACCUGACGGUACCUCCAGAGAAAGCUCCGGCCAACUCCGUGCCAGCAGCCGCGGUAAUACGGGGGGAGCAAGCGUUGUCCGGAAUUACUGGGCGUAAAGGGCGUGUAGGCGGGCUUGUAAGUCAGGAGUGAAAUUUGUCGGCUUAACCGGCAAUCUGCUUCUGAUACUGCAGGUCUUGAGUAAGACAGAGGAAAGUGGAAUUCCUGGUGUAGCGGUGAAAUGUGUAGAUAUCAGGAAGAACACCGGUAGCGAAGGCGGCUUUCUGGGUCUUUACUGACGCUGAGGCGCGAAAGCGUGGGUAGCAAACAGGAUUAGAUACCCUGGUAGUCCACGCCUU